GCCCAUUAGCACCAUCAGAUUCAGGACCUGUUUGAGUAUUGUUUUGCUGAUUUGGUGAUUGGGAGUCCUCUGAGGAUGUAAAAUUUUCCUCCAUCCUCUCUGACUUUUCUUUAAAGGACCUAAGACUACAUUCAAAGAAGCUCCGGCGCACUCCCAUUUUUUCCAUUUCCUCCAUAUAUUUUUGGGAUUUUGCCCUGGCUUUUUCCUGCAGUUCUUCAUCAGACUGGUUUGGCUUAUAAACAACUGCAUCAGGGCUUGUUAUCCUGGGCUCUUCACUGGACUGGCCAGUGUGGGUGCGUUUGCGCUUGCGCUUUGAUUCUGAUUGUUGUGGCCGGCGUAAUUGGCAUUGGCUUUGUUGGUUUUAGUCUGGAGAUUCAUCCUUUGAUUUUGGUGUAUGAGUGGCUUGGACACGUGUGGUUUCUGUUUGGGUUUCAUCAGGUUUAUGCUUAGGAGAAGGGUCUUUCUCAGGAGUAGUACCACUCAUGAUUUGUUCUCAGCAAAAUAUUUGCUCAGUGUAAAUGACUAGUUAGCUAAUCUAAUUGACGUUUGCUACAUAGACUUGAUAGAGAAGCAUUCAUAUUCAUGAUGGAUGAAGGAGGGGUGAAACUUCUUCUCUAUUUCUCUCUAUUUCCCCACCGGAAUUGAGAGAGAUGGUGAGGGCGUGGUGUGUCGGUGUUAGUGAGAAAGAUGGUGCGGGGGUGUUUGUGGCGGUAUGAGAUGGAGUGAGAAAGAUGGUGAGGGUGUGUGUGUGUGAGAGAUGGAGAGGGUGAGUGUGCAUGAGUUUUUUGUGUGCGUGUGUGAGUGUGUUAUGUGCGUGCGCGUGUGUUGUGUGCGUGUGGGAGCUGGAGAGAUGGUGAGGGCGUGUGUGUAUAUGAGAGAGAGAUGGUGAGGGUGAGUGUGUCGGCUAGUGGUAGUGGCUGGUGAGAAAGAGAGAUAGGGAUCGUUUGUUUUGUGUGUCUGUUUUGUGUGUCGCAUGGGCGUGAGAUUUUAAGGUUUAGAAUUAUUUUUAUUAGUUUUUAAAAUUUUUUAGUUUAAGUAUGUUUAUACAAUAAAAUUAAUUUAAUUAAAAUUAAUUUAAUUAAAAUAAAUAAAUUCUUUAUCAUAUUGAUUUUUAAAAAUAGUAAUAUUAAUAAUGAUAAUACUAAAAAGAUAAAUAAAUUAUAAAUUAAACAAAUAAUUUUUUUGUAUAAAUAUUAAGAGAAAAAGAUUAUAAAGUAUGUGAAAAAAAAGACAAAAGUUUGUUUCAUGUCUUGAAUGUUCGGUCUCAUGUUUGAGUUUAAGAGUUUCAUGUAUUUCAUUUUAUGUCUUAUGUAAUAUAUUUUAAAUGCACUCAAUUUUUUUUCCUCCAUUUCAUGAUGGCGUUCAUAUUGUGUAUCUAACGUUUAUAGUUACAUUGUUGGCGUUUUAUGUUUCAUAUUUAAUAGUACUCAUAUUUGAUGUUCAUCAUAGCAUAUUUUACAUUAAUAUAGUCUACUCUUUGUUUGACGUAUAAAUGUCAUGUUUCAUAUUACUAAUUAAGUAGCAUCUUUCCACGUUUCAUAUUCUAAAUGCCCUCGAACAUUUAAUUUUUUUUUUCCCUAGUUUCAUGUUUGAUGUUUUGUUUCAUAUGUGACAUUCAUUGUUACAAAUAUGGAGUUAACUGUUGCAUAUUCUAAAUGCCCUUCAAAGAUUUACCUUUUUCACAUGUUUCGUGUUUCACAUUCCUAUUUCAAAUAUAAAAUUCAUUGCUGCAUGUGAAGAGUUUACCGUUUCGUGUUCUAAAUAUUUUCUUAUAAUGAAUAUAUAAAAUAACAAAAAGUAUAAGAAAAAUAUCUUAUUAUUAAUUUUUUUACAUCGAAACAUAUAAUUCUUAUUUUUAGUACUUCAUUUUUUAUUUUAAUUUCAUUUAUAUGAUUUAUUUAAUUUAUAAUAAAUACGAAUAAAAGUGUAUUUGAAAAUAAAUGUAAUAAUAUAAAAUUAUGUUAGUAGGGAUUAUUGGCUAUUAUAAAAAUAAUAAGAAGGUAAAUGAUAAAUAUUGAUUGCAGUAAAAGUGAAAUUGACAAACUCCCUAAUAAAUGAUCAAAUUUUUAUUUCAGUGGAUUUUCUUCCCAACAAGUUCUUGAUUUUUUAAUCUUCUGAUUGAUUUACCUCCUCUUUUCUUUUUGAUGAAAUUGAAUGUUUAGUAAUAAAUAUUAGGGAUGACAAAAAAAUCCGAGCUGACCCAUUUCCAUGGACUUUGGCUCGAGCUCGGACUCCAAAAUUGUUUUGUAUGGGUUGACUAGACUUGACUUCUUAUUUUGUAUAUGAGUUUAUAUGAGUUUUAGCAAAUUUAAGUUGCAUGAAGCCAUGAAUUGUUAGAUUCCACUACUUCUUGUUGUUGGUUGUUACACCGGACAAUCUGUCAAUCUUUGAUCUCUGUGGCAGAACAAAUGAAGCUCCGAUCACUAUUGUUUGAACCAUCCUUCUCAUAUGCUUCAAUUCGGAAGGAAGCCAAUUGUCGUAUACUAAAUGGUCCAAAUGUUUGAUUUCAUUUAUGGGAAAAACACCAACUUUGAUAGAUUUGAUAGCAAAAAUGGUUUUGUGAAAAAAGCAUCUUUGAUUUUCAAGAUUAGCUUGCUUGCCGUGCUAGUCAUUUCUCUUCUGUUCAUUGGCCCAUCACUUCGAAAAAAGCCGAAUAUUAGAUGCUUUCCCUUCUAUUAAUGAUAUGACUUGAACAUGGAUAGGUCUCUCAAAUUCAAAGUUAGUUAUAACUUUUUUUAUAUUUUCUUGAAUUAUUAACAUUAAAACAAAUAUUCACCUGCCUAACUAAAAUACAUGAAUUAUCUGUUGUGCAUACAACAACAGCCGUGCACAGAUAAAAUUAAACCGGAAAAAAAUAUGUGCCGAAGCGAAUUCAAAUUAAGAGUACCCUUGGUUGAAUAAGGUUUAAAAGAUAUAUAGUGCGGGUUUGUGCUCUUCAAAGACCAUCAAGUGAUCUUUAUUGUGACAGUAAGGACCGAUUGGUACCAUUUUUGGCUCAUAAGAAUUUUCAUUUAUUUUACGAAGUUUAUCACGCACUAGGAAAAUCCUGAACUAUCAAGGUCUAGGUGCAUACACGGCUACAAAUUUUUUCUCCGACAUAAUCAAGUACCAAGUUAGCUGGUUCACCAACCAUCACUUGCUCUUAGAAAACGUACAGGUUCCUCUGCUGAUGCCAAGAAGUUACACAUUUAGGAUUGUGAACUUACCAUUUUUAAAAAAGACAAACUUCAAUUCAUCCUCCACAUAAAAAGACAAUUUUUAAUUUAGUCUUUUAAAAGUGUGGAAACUUUAAUUCAUCCCUCAUUUUCAUUUAGAAGACGAAGGCAGACAGGGUACAUUGAUCACCUUUUUAUUUUAUCUAUUUAAAUAUAAGUAAAUUGAUAUUUUUAUAUUUUAAGGGUUGAAUUUAAGAUAUUCUCUAAAUAGGGGAUAAACUGAUGUUCUACCUUUUUGAAAUCUUAUUUAGAAUUGAACGUGGUGGUAGUAUUGGAGAGAUAAGUACAUAACAAAAUUAAGAAAUAAAUGAAAAUUUAUUAAAAUUUAUUAAGGAAUCAGUCACAGUUUUUAAGAAAACCCAAUUACUUGAGACUUAAAGAAGUCAUUGAAAGGUGGUGGAUUUUCUAUUGGCAAUUUUUAAGCAUCUUUAGCGAGCCGAGGAAAAUAUUUUAUUUAUUAUAAAAGCACAAAUAAAAUGAAAAAUUAAAUAGGAAAUUUAAGAAGUCAAUGACAGGUGGUGGAUUUUCUAUUGGCAAUUCAAUUGCGGUUUAUGAACUUACAUUCCUUUGGAGUGAGAAUUUUUCCAGACAUUCUACAACCAUCUUGAUACACGUCUCCAAUACCACAAUCAUUACACCUGCUUUUCAAUGACUUUGCGCUUGUUGAUAAUAAGAAAUAACUGCAAACAGAGCUUGCAGCAACGUUAGGAGAAGUAGGACAACAGCAGCAAGAACGGAGAUGAUUGCCCAUGGAGUGUUGAAAUAAUUGUGCCUUAACUUGGCCAUCCACUUAUUAUGGCGCCAACUGCAAUGCAAAUUCACUUCGUUAAAAACCUCACGGCAAUAGAACCGCUCACCGAGUACAACACCAUCACAAAGCUUGUUAAGUAACUUAUGGGUCCCCAUAACAAUUUCGAGCUCUUUCUUCCAGUUUCCACAUCACCUUGACAUAGUCUUGAGUAAUGUAUACCCGUUCGAUUUACAAGAGUAUGAAGAUAGCUAAUUUUGUGCUUUUCAAAGGCCGACGAGUGAUCUUUGUAGUGAUGGUAAGGACCAAUUGCUAGCAUUUUUGGUUCAUAAGCUUUUUCAUUGAACUUACGCAGGAAAUCAGGCAAUCUGGAAAUGCUGCUGAAUAACUGAGACGGUGCAUCAAGCUUUUCCCCAACACGUUGUAUUAUUAUGUCAACUGGUUGUAAUACAACUAGUUAAUUACCCAUGACUUGAUCUGCAUUUAAGUGGACAUAAUUAAAGGAACAAACGUUGACUAUAAAAUUUCACAAACGUUCUGUUUUUCACUAAAUUAAUUAUUGACAAUCACAGAAUUCACAAGUAUUCGAAUUUUACGUAGAAAUUAUCAUGAAUGACGAGAAUUAAUAAGUCUACAUUUUAUAAAUUUCAAAGUGCGUACUAGGGAAAAAGUAGUGAUUGAUAAGUACCCCAACAUCCAAGCAUCAACAAUAGUUCUAAAUCAAAAAAACGAUGCAAGGAGACCGCAAAAUCGUCGAAAUAUAGAUUGGGCCCCAAUAACUUACGAUACAAGGAGACCUCAUGUUCAAAAGUCGUCGAAAUAUUGAUGUAUGUAGUUUGUCGCUUGCAUGACUGACGUUGUAAUUCAAUUAUUGAAGGGUUUUCAGCUGAAGCUGCGUGGGUCCGUUGGUUGUCGCGUGCGUGACUCACGUUGCAAUUCCUCGAGAAAUGAUAUCUGUCCUGCUUUUGUGCACUAGUGGAUGCACCAUUGGAUAUAAUGGGACCUAAAUCUAAGGGUGAGUUAAAAGCCAAGCAAGAGAUGAGUAGGCCGGAAUUAAAAGGUCAUGAUUAACAAAAGAACGGAUCACCUAACGCCUAAUCAAAAGUGAACUAAAACAUUAGGAUUUAGGGGUACACAUUACAGUUUCUAAUUUGAUUACCUAAGGGUUUGGUAGAGCAAUUUUCAAACAAUUUCGUUUCUUAAUAAUCUGAAUUUGAGUCCUAAGAAAAUGACACUUAAUUUUUAUCCUAGUCAACUUUUUUUUUUUUAUGAUUAAUAGUUAUCAUUCAAAGUCUCUAUAGUCCUACCAUAAACCUCAGAUAAUUCAUUAAGUUUAUUUGUUUUUUUAACUUAAAAGAAAAUUGUUAGUCAUUAAGUAAAUUUUUUUUAACUUUUUAUUUAAUUUAAAAAACUUGAAUGAUAUAAUUAAAAGAUAUUCUUCAAAAUAUUUCUACCAAUUAAUUAAUUUUUAUUUUUACCUAAAUAAAAUUUGAUAUUAAUAUUAUUACUCAUCUGUAUAAUUUGUGAUAAUAUAAUAGUAAACUAUUAUUAUUUUUAUCUAGCAUCAUAAACUACAAUAAAAUUUAUUAACAUACAAUAGUUUAGAAUACUAAAAAGUUAUAUUCAAUUAAACAUGAUCUAUAUUAUGACAAUAUAUUGUCUUAUUUAUUUUCUUUAAUAUGCUUAUUAUUUGUUUAACAUUUAUAAUUUGUAAGGACACAAAUAUAAAAAUAUUAAUUUUCAGAUUUUUUAAGUUAAGAAAACUUAAUAUUUAUUUUUAAUGAUUCAGACAAAAAAAUAAAUGUAUCAUUCUAAUUUAGACAUUCAAUUAUUCAAAAUUCAAAGUAAUUCAAAUUUAUUCAGAUUUUAAACAAAAGAACAAACGCCAGUGUAACAAAAUCUUUUUCCCUUUACAUUAAAAAAGUAAAACUAACUCGACUGCAAGUUAAGUUAUUUUAACUUUUUAGCCAUUGAACCAAAGAACAAAUUUUUAAAUAGCUUAUUGAAUCAUCACUUACAUAAUAAUAAUAAUAAUAAUAAUAAUAAUAAUAAUAAUAAUAAUAAUAAUAAUAAUAAUAAUAAUAAUAAUAAUAAUAAUAAUAAUAAUAAUAAUAAUUAAUAAUAAUAAUAAUAAUAAUAAUAGUUUUUGAAAUUUUAUUUUUAUUUUUACCUAAUAUAAAUAGGUGAUAACUAAAAGAAAACCAAAUAUUAUAAUUAUUAUUCAACCUUAAAAUAUGGUUAUGUUUUUUUUCUCUCUCAAGGUACUGCUCUCUUUAAACAUUUUUUAGUUUUGAUAUUAUCUCAAUAUAUUGUUUCAACCUUUUGGAGAUUUUUUUUAAAUAUUUAAAUACUUUAUAAUAUAGUAAUGAUUUUAUUUAAGUCUCUAAUUUUUAAUUUAUUGAAACCAUUUAUUCAUAUCUAUUAUAAAACAAGUAAAUGGAAAAUAGAGUAUAGAUGAAGAAGUCAUUUCUCAUAUAGGGAUUUUCCGUCCCCACCCCACUAAAUUUAUUAAGGGAUGAAGUGGAGAAUGGAGACAAAAUUUUUAAUGGGGUAGGUCUCUCACCCCCACCGCACUCCAUUGCUAUUCUUAAGUAGGGGAUAAAUUGAGAUUGUACCCUUUCUCAAAUUUUAUUUAGAAUUGAGUGCGGUGGUAAAAUUGGAGAGUUAAGUCCAUAACAAAGUUAAGAAAUAAAUGAAAAUUUAUUAAAAUUUGAUGUUGAGGAUCAGCUACAAUUUUUAAGGAACCCAAAUACUUAAAAUUACACAGCACAAAUCUAUGCAAUGGAAACUCAUAUGACUUAGGUAAUUUUUGAAGUAUAAAUUUAAACGAGAGCGUAUGCAAAAUUCCAAGCUAGGGCCAAUCAAAUUGACAUCAAAUUCAAAAUUGCUUUAUAAUUAAUUAAUUUAUGCUUCGUUGGACUUACUUUGAACAAUAAAUCAAGGGGUCUAGAUUACACGAGUGAAUACAGCAAAGGAUAACAAAACUCACAGCAUAUUUUUGUGCUCAUUUCCUUUGGUGAUUCACAUCCUUAUCUUGCAUUAUUCUCGAUUGUUCUUGCCCAAAUCUCAUUUGCAGCAAAUUUUUAAUUAUGGCUUCCCCGUCAAAACCACUUCAUUGGGCUUUCUGUCGAACAACUACGGACAUAUAUCAAACACCCUGCGUAUGACACAAUAAGCAUGGCAACCAGAAAUCUCAAAUUGAAAUUUAUAAUUUUCUAGAAUUAUUGAAACACAGCCUGUUAUCUAUUCAAAAGUUUGUUUACAACUGCUUCUAUGUUCAAUGGCUUUGCGCUUGUUGAUAAUAAGAAAGAACUGCAAACAGAGCUUGCAGCAACGUUAGGAGAAGUAGGACAACAGCAGCAAGAACGGAGAUGAUUGCCCAUGGAGUGUUGAAAUAAUCGUGCCUCAACUUGGCCAUCCACUUAUUACGACGCCUACUGCAAUGGUAAAUCACUUUGUUAAAAACCUCCCGGUAAUAGAACUUCUCACCGAGUACAACGCCAUCACAAAGCUUGUUCAAUAAGGUUGCAAUCACUUCAUCAUCUCCUAACAAAUUAUCAAUUAUUCCACGACGGCGGAGUAAUUCAGCAUCCUUAGAAGAAUUGAUGAGGCAGUUCAGGAAUUCCACAUAAUCGAUUACAUGCUUCAGAUUUAAGUCUUGAGAACACUGCUCGUAUGCAAUGAAAUUCUGUAAAAUUGUUUCUGUAGCAUCACCAAUUUCCAAGGACGGCAUCUUCAUUACCCCAUUUUCGAACUUAAUAUCGAAAAAGGAAUCAUCAUCCUUAUCGACCUCAACCUUCCGGAAUUCGAUUCCAGCCUCUUGAAUCUCUGUGGCAGAACAAAUGAAGCUCCAGUAACUAUUAUUUGUGGCAUUAUUCCUAUAUGCGUCAACUCCUGCAGGCGAAGGAAGCCAAUUUUCGUGUAUUAAAUGGACCAAAUGUUUUAUUUCAUUUAUGGGGUAAACAUCAACUUGAUAAACAAUAUCUCUUCGACAACCUUUCCCUGGUAAUAUGCCAUUGAAAAAACGCAGGAUCAUGAGAAGAAAGCUGUCAUUCCUUGGAUCAUUAGGCAUCUCAGUCAUGAUAAACAACUUCCAAAUAACAAAAAAUGGAAGUUGAUUCUCAAGCAAAAUCAUAUCUCGUGCUAUGGAAGGUAACAUCCAACCUAGUUUAAGAAUUGGGUCAUCAUCUCCUCUCAAAUGUUUCAACCUAAACUUGCGAAUAACCUCAACAAUAAAGCAACCAUCGAGAAGCAUCAUUUGCACAAACUCAUCUCCGUUUAAACUUGUGGACCCUCCAUAACACUUUCGAGCUCUUUCUUCCAAUGCCCUCAUGGCCAUGACAUAGUCUGACAAAGGUAUACGAGUACGCUCUAGAAGUUUUUUAAGAUAGCGAGUUUUGUGCUCUUCAAAGGCCAAUAAUUGUUCUUUGCGGUGAUGAUAAGGACCGAUUGCUAGCAUUUCUGGUUCAUAAGCCUUUUCAUUUAACUUUCGCAGUACAUCAGGCACCUUGAAAAUGUUGAACUGAUCAGAUGGCGUAGCAGUUAGACGACGAAGCUUUUCCCCAACAAGAUCAAGCACUAUGUCAGCUGGUUCACUUGCCAUGACUUGGUCUGCAUUUAAGUCACAAUAUCAAGCACUAUCAAAUUUCAAGAAUGUUGAAAUCUGCAUUUCCAUAAAUUAUUGACAUCCAUUGAAAACACAAGUACUUCAAUUUUUCAUAAAAGUUACCACGAAUAUCAAGAAUUCUGUCUCAAUUUAAAAAAUUCCGAUGUGUACUAGCUAACAACUACUGAUUGAUAAUAGUUUCAACAUCUAAGAAGUAUAGUUACAGCACUACUUGUACAACAGGAGGGAGUGAAACAAAAUCAACAAUAAUAACCCACUAAUCGAAUGAUCAUAAACAACUCAAAAAGUUAUAUAUUUUUUUCAAUUUCAAUUCUUUAUAUCCUUAGAAAUAAUUCCUACAGCAAUGAUCCAGAUCACGGAUCUCGCCUCUCACACGGCUAGAGAAACUAAGCAAAAUUCAUACAAAGUCGAUUAAUGCUUCAGAGUUGUAAGAUACAUUAUUCUAAACAAUUUUGUGAUAACUUACUUGUUUGAAGGCUAUCGUUCCUAUUGCUUGACGAGAUCGCAAUCUUACCAGUGCAACGAUUCUUGGUUGACGAGAUCCCAAUCUUACCGUUGUAACACAAAGGAGACUGCAUGUGGAAAAAGGCUAUGAUGAAUGAUGACCCACCAAAAAAAAUAAAUUAAAGGGUGAGGUUAUAUACACUCUAUAAAUUACUCUCAAUACUCUAUUACUAUAUACACUCAUCUAUUAAUUCAAAAAAAAUAAAUUAUACUUUGUACACUUUUUAAAAUAUCAAGAAAGUCCUCACUUUAUCCUUUUUGAAUUAAUUAUCUUUAUUUACUCUACACACUCAUGAAAAUGCUAUACAAAAUCAAAAAAUUUCAGGUCUCAAGCAUUUACAACUCCACAAAAUUAAUAAACUAAUAAAAGAUUAUAAGCACAAUACCUGGAACAACUAAAAGAUCAUGAUCAAAGACAAAGUAAUCAUGUUCUGACUUCUCAUAGCAUAUGUGAUACAUUGGCCCCAUGUUUCUGCGUUUCAUGGUUUUUCUUUUAAUAAUUAAAUAUUACGUGCUUAAAUUUUAGUAAUCAUGUUCUAAAAGAGAGGGAUAAGGAAGAAUGAUUAAGAGCAGGUGCUUGGCAGAAGGGACCCUUAUGACGAUCUUCUUCAGCACAGCUGCGAUGCCAUUUCCAUCUCCAAUUGAAUGCAAGAAAAUUCAGAAGCCAAGGAAGAAUGAUUCAGAGUUUGUUAAAAUUCUUUAUGUUGUAAACUAAAAAAUCAAAAGGAUCACACAUACCUAAUUAAAGUUAAAAUCUUCAUAUAUUGAAUUUCCUCUUUAAAUAUUUCUUUCAAGUAUUUGAAAGAAAAAAAUUUAAGGGUUUAAAAUAGUAAGAAAACUAAAUAUUAAAUUUAGUGUCCUAAAUGAGUGUUCAGAGUAAUAAUAUUAUGCAUGCUCAUAAUAAAGUGUCCUUAAUAGUAAUUUAUAUCACGAGUAUUUUUGUAAUAAAUUUUUUUAUAAAAAUAUGAGUGUUUAGAGUAAUUUUUAGAGUGCAUAUAUCCCUACCCUAAAUUAAAUUGUACGGCAAGUUUUUCUUUCUUUUAUAUUUUCAAUUCUUAUCAUUAGGCAAAUAAUAAUAAUAAUAAUAAUAAUAAUAAUAAUAAUAAUAAUAAUAAUAAUAAUAAUAAUAAUAAAAGAAGGAAAAAGGCUUUAUAACCCACGGGCAAAUUUAUGGAAAUUCUUUUCGCUUUUCAAUUUCACCAAGCCAUACUCUCACCAAAAGUCAUACUCUCAACUUUCUUGUAAAGUUAACCAAUUACGAAGUUUUAGUCCCACCCGCUGUCUGGAUGCUCUGCUCACCGUCGCCCAUUUUCCUGGCCAUCUCCCACCCAUGUCUUGUAAUCCAACCACAAAGUCAACAAUUUGCAGCCCACACCAAGUACAACUUGCCGUUCAAAUUUUCUUUUUUUUUUUUUCCAAAUUGAGAUUGAGUGAAAAUGGCAUCGAAUAAAAAAAAAAAAGGAAAACACUUUCAAAGACAUUUAAGUCACUUCGUGUGCCACGAUCUUUAAACCUCUAUUUCUUCCAAAAUUAUCAAUUUCGUUGAGGCCCAAUUCAAACUCUAACACUCUUCAAUCGACAAUAAAUCCUCAACAAUCAAGUCAAAUGAAUAAUGUUAAAGUCGUGGGCAGUGGUGAGAGAUGGGAGAAAUGUGUGUUUUAUUUUGCUUUUGUAUUUUGGUGGAUUAAGGGUAAAUGUGUCAAAAUGGCAUGAAGUUGGUUAUAUUUAUAAGAAAUAAGGGAGAGACUUCUUUGAUAAAUUAAAAAGUGCAAAGUGGCCAUGUCUAUAAAUUUCCCAAAUUUCUUUAAUUUUUUCUAAUUAGGAAGUAGAACAAGACUGCCAUUUUUUUCGUCAACGAGACUACCACUUUGAAAAUUCUUUCAUAUGUUUACAAAGUUGGAUUAUCUCUAACCACUCUAACCACAACCCUCGGAUCUUUACUUUAUUACCAACCUUGAAAAUUGUGCAAAUAAUUAAUAGGUGAGAGGGUAAAUAGGUUACAAAUUUUAUCAAAUAAAAAAUAAAUUUCCUUUCUUUUCAAAUGAAUAUAUAACAAUACACUUAUCUUUUAUUAUUGAAAAAGUAAUAACCUUUCAAUAUCACAAUAAUUUUUCAAUAUUACAUUUACGAAAAAUAAUACCCACACUUUUAAGGUUUGAGAAAAUAAUCAUGUAUAGUGGUAAAAUUAGCCGCUUUCUAAAAUUUUACGAAACUUACAAAAAUGUCAUUAUUCAAAAUUUAAAAAAUUGCUACUAUUUUAUUUACAAUUGUACCACUCUUUUAAUUUACAACUCUGCCAUUUACAUAAAUAAAUAAAUAAAAAUGAGCAUUUAUUUGAUUCCGGAUUCCCAUAUCGUGCUCUCUUUCUUGGCUUGUUCAGUUCUUCGUCUUCUUCUUCGUAAGAAUAGAUAGUAAAUUUAUUUUUAAAUUCAAUCAUUUAUGAUAUAUUUAUUAAUUAUAAGGUAGUAAAUAAUUUCAUAAAUGACUAAUUGACUAUUAUAUCUUUUGAUUAUAACAACCUAAAUAAAUAUAAAUAUGGUAACACAAUAAAAAUAAUAAAUAAAUAUCAUAUGAUACAAAUAAAAUAUUACAAUAAAUAUAAUUAAUAAAAUAACAUGUAUAAUGAUUAUUAUUUUAAUAUUAAGUUAUUAUUAAUCUAUCUCGAUGGGUUUUAUUAAUACUAAAAUUUGUUAAUCCAAAAAUUGACUUUAAAAUUUAUACUAAUAUGGACAUAAUAAAAAAGAUAUUGUAAAUAAAAUAAUAUAAACUUUAUAAAUUACUGUGAAUGUUAGGUAUAAUUAUUUUAAUAUUAUUAAUAUGCCAAAUAGAUUUUAUUAUUAAUAAAAGAAUGUGACAGAUUAAUAAUGUUAAAAUAACUUUUCUAAUAUUUCAAAUAACCUAUAAAAUUUAUCUUAUUUUAAAUAUUAUAUUAUUUUUAUUUUAAUUAUAUUUAUUAUAGAAGUUUAUUUAAAGUCAAUUAUUGGGUUGUUGUGAUCAAGGAUAUAAUAGUAAAAAAGGGAUUUAUGUGACCAUUUAUGAAAUCAAGGGGUUUGUAUGACCAUUUAAGCAAAUCUUGAGGGUAUGAGUGGCCUUUCCCCUUUAAAAUAAGGAAUCCACUAUUAAAUGAACAAUAAACAACUCGACUAUUACAUUUUCAUUUUUAUUUCAUUUCUUAUUCUUUAAUAAUAAUUCGUAUAACAUUGAGCCUGAUCGUGGAUCUUGACUGUCGCAUGAUUAAGUAAAUAAGCAAAAUUUAUUGGGUACAAAUACAGUGCAAGAGACAUCAAUUUAGUUGAUUAAUGCAAUGAAUUUUGAAAAAAAACAAUCCUAUUUUUUAUAGGAUCAACUUACUAUAUAAAUUAAUUAUUACCUAAUUUGAAAUUAAAUAUAUAUGACAUAUUUAUGUGAUUUUGUUUAAAAGAAAAAAAAAAUGUGCUUAGUUCACUUGCUUCUUUUCAAAAUUGGAUAUGACUUGAAUUUUAUCUCUAACUUUUGACAGUGCGAAAUUCUAAUUGUUAUUAUCAUUAUACAUCAAUAAAUUAUUCAAUGUUAGUAUUGCUUUGAGUGCUUCUUUAUGCAAGAUGAGACUCUUUGUAAAUGUCAUUUUUAACAUAGAAAAAUAAAAUAUCUAUAAUAGUCUUAUUACUACUAAUGUAAUGCAAUUAACUACUAAAGAAUAUCUUCAUAAAUUAAAAAUAUUUUAAUAUAUCAAUUAGUUAAUAUUCACUAAAUUAUUGGAUUUUCUAUGUUCCCAUGGCUCUUAAAUUAUUGAAGUUCUAAUGUAUGACCUAAGCUUGGUCUAACUUUAUUUUGUUGAUCAUCCGAAUUCGAAUAAAAAAGAGAGUUUAAUUUCAUGAUUGUAAUAAAUUAAGAUCAAAAUAAAGGAAAUCUUAUCGUAAAUUAUUUAAAAAAUAAUUGUACCCAAGGUUUUUGUUGGAUCAAGGGAUUUGUUGCAACUUCCUAGCUAGCAUGUCACUCUUCUCCACUUCUACAUACUUAGCUAUAAAAGUAAAGGAGCUAUAUUGGUGCUCAUAGAAUGAAUAUUAAACCAUUUAACUUCAUCUUCUAUUGUCCUAAGGGUGUUUACUGGCCCCAUGAAGCCAACAAUUCUUAAGAUGACUUUUAAUGUUAAUAAAAUAGGAUUUUAAAAACAUUGUAAAUCUUUUGACGAAACUGUUUAAUUUAGUCUACACCUCAAAUAAAUUCAAAACUAAUUCAACCAUUUAACAAUUUUUAACCUUCAAAUUACAUGCACCACUUUCAUUAAUGGUUGGUUCUUUUCUCUUCAAUUUCCAAAGCUCUCCAUUCUUAUUUAUAACAAGUUUGUAAUAUCACAAUCUUUAUAACAAUGGAAUAGUAGAUCGGAGCAGAAGAAAAACACCAUAUUAAAUGAAAAUCGAAUAAAUUGAACGCAUAUUUGUCAGACGAGGUUGUAGCUUGUAACAAAUAUUUUCAUCCAAAAAUAAACCAUUCUUAUUUAUUACAAGGUUGUAAUAAAUAUUUUCAUUGAAAAAUAAAGAUUUUAAAGAGGCAUCAUUCAAGGAUCCAUAAAAUUAAAAAGUGAAAAUACAAAUCUAUUUACUUACUAAACUAAUUUCAAGCUUUUUAAAUAACACAUUUCUGGUAAAACAAGAAUAACAGGUACAACUCAAACUUUAUGAAUAAAAAGUACUUACAAUUAUAUUGAAAAAGCAUAAUUUUUUUUUAAAAAAUUUUGGAGUUCGAAUUCAAAACCCGUGCCCUAAACAGGUUACUCCUUUGUGAAUAUAAUAAAGGGGCUUUGUGAGAAUUUUUAAGGGGUGUUAAAAGCUGAACUCCUAAUUCAUAAAGCUUAGAACCGAAAGCAUUCUUUGCCGGCUUUGCAAACAAGCCCAAAACAUUAGGCAAAAGUAACAAACGAAGCCCACAACAGAGGUCACAAUCAUGGGUCAGUGGAGUCGGUGUCGGUGAAUACAACACACAAGAACAGGACCAGGGUGGAGUGGACUGGUGUCUGGUGGUCCACGAAAGCAACAAAAUUGAAAAAGAAAAAGUCAGCAACAGCGGCUAAGGAGUACGACAUAUAAUUAUUAAUUAUUUAAUUAUUUAAUUUUGGCUAUAAACACCCAAAAGAAUCAUUAGUUUCGGGAGAAUAUUAUACAAAAAGUUAAAAGCAUAUAAGCCAAAAGCAAAAAACUCUCUUGCCUAAUUACCAAUAAAAAGCUUAAUUACAUUUUUUGCUUCUAAAAAGCUUAAUUACCAAAGCAAAAAACUCUCUUGCCCAGGCGCCCCUCGGAGACGGGAUUAGGUUUGGCCCAUUAUCCAUGUGAUUGGUUGUAAUUGUAAUUGACAUUUGCUAUAUGUGCUUCUUUGCUAGCAGUCAGAACACGGUGAUACUUAUUUGUAGUGUCACCAGAAUGGUGUCAAUGGUUAUUAUUAGUGUCACUAUAAUGGUGUCAGUGGUUAUUAUUACUAUAAUAUCACCAAUUUAUGACACUAAAGCAUCAAAUUAUAUCAAUACUAUAUUAGUGUCAUUGAUUGCUAUUAAUAUAGCGUCAAUUUUUCAUUUAUUAUUUGUUAAAAAUUAUAAGAUGGCGUAUUGGCAAUUGAUUUGUUGAUUAAAUUAAAAUGUACCACCAAAUAACAACAAAAAUCAAUUUAUAUUGCAAAACCUUUCAUAACAUGUAAUUAUUAUUAGUUCAUAUUACACAAUCAAAAUACUUCAAUACACAAGACAUCUUAUUCUUAUAAUUGAAUAAUCUCAAAUACCUAAAAAUUGCUAUUAUACAAUCAAAUUUCUUUUACUUGUAGCUGAAUUUAGGGCUAAAUUUAACAAAUCUAAAAACUAAAUUUAAAAGGAUUAUUAUUUUUCACUCAUUAUCUAAUUGUUGACAUGACACAUCUCUCAUGACUAAAAUUUUUUACCUUUAAUGAAAUUGAUUGUUGACCAUGCACUGAAAACAGGGCUUGCACAAAGGUUAGUAGAAGCAGGAAUACAGCAGCGAGAAAGGAGAUGAUUGCCCACGGAUUGUUGAAAUAAUUGUGCCUCAACUUGGCCAUCCACUUAUUACAACGCCUUCUGCAAUGGAAAAUCACUUUGUUGGAAACCUCACUAUAAUAAAACCGCUCACCGAGUACAACACCCUCACAAAGCUUGUUCAAUAAGGUUGCAAUCACUUCAUCAUCUCCUAACAAAUUAUCUAUUAUUCCACGACGGCGGAGUAAUUCAGCAUCCUUAGAAGAAUUGAUGAGGCAGUUCAGGAAUUUGACAUAAUCUAUUACAUGCUUCAGAUUUAUGCCUUGGGAACACUGCUCAUACGCAAUGAGAUUCUGAAAAAUAGUUUCUGUAUCAUCACUAAUUUCCAAGGAUGGCAUCUUCAUUACCCCAUUUUCGAACUUAAUAUCGAACAAGGAAUCAUCAUCCUUAAGGACCUCAACCUUCCGGAAUUGGAUUCCAGCCUCUUGAAUCUCUGUGGCAGAACAAAUGAAGUUGCAGUGACUAUUAUCGGUGCCAUUAUGAAGCUCAUAUGCUGCUAAUCCUGCAGGUGAAGGAAGCCAGUUACCGUGUAUCAAAUGGACUAGAUGUUUGAUUUCAUUUAUGCGAUAAUUUUCAACUCGGUAAACAUUAUCUCUUCGACAUCCUUUUCCUGGUAAUAUUCCGUUGAAAAAACGCAGAAUUGUGACAAGAAAGCUUUCGUAACUUGGACUGUUAGGCAACUCAGUCAUGCUAAACAACCUCCAAAUAACAAAAAUGGAAGUUGAUUCUCAAGUAAAAUCAUAUCUUGAGCUAUGGAAGGUAACAUCCAACUCAGUUCAAAAAUAGGGUCAUUACCUUGUCCCAAAGCAGGGGCAUCCGUGUCCAACCUAAACUUGCGAAAAACCUCAACAAUGAAACAACCAUCAAGAAUCAUCAUUUUCACAAACUCAUCUUGGUUUAAACUUAUGGACCCUCCAAAACAAUUUCUAGCUGUCUCUUCCAGUUCCCUCAUGACCGCGAAAUAGCGUGACAAAGGUAUAUCCAAUCUUCGCUCUAGAAGCCUUUGAAGAUAGCUCAUUUUGUACUUUUCAAAGUCCCAUAAUUGAUCUUUGCCGUGAUGGUAAGGACCAAUUGAUAGCAAUCUUGGUGCAUAAGCCUUUUCAUUUACAUUACGCAAUACCUGAGGCACUCUGAAAAUGCUAAACUGAGAUGGUGUACUAGUUAGACAACGAAGCUCUUCCUCAAGAUCAAGUACUAUUGCAGUCGGAUCACUUGCCAUGGUCUGCAUUUAAGUGGAUAUAAAGACAUAAAUGUUGAUUACUAUAAAACUUAACUAAAUUAAUUAUGGAUAAUUACAGAAGUUACAAGUACUUCAACUUUACAUAAAAAUUAUCAUUAAUGCCAUUAAGUCUGCUUUUUAUAAAUUUUGGAAAAAAAAAAAACAAUAGUCAUUGAUAAUAGUUUCAACUUCUAAUUAGAGUUAUAGUGACAGUACUUGUAUAACAAGGGAAGUGAGACAAAUCAACAACGAGUGAAAGCAAAUCAUCAGUUAUAGCACACUAAUUGAAUGACCAUAAUCAUAAACAAAACCAAAUUUUAUAUUCGUUUCAAUUUCAAUUCUUUUAUAUUCUUAGUAAUAUUUGAUACAGAACUGAGCCAGCUCACGGAUCUUGGAUCUCACGGGCGCGGCCAAAGAAGCUAAGCAAAAUUCUUGGGGUACACAACACAAUUCCCUAUAAAUCAAUUCAAAGGUAAAAAAUGCAUUAUAUUAAAACAAGUUAUUUAUGAUCACUUACAGAUGACUUUCCGGUUGCGAGACGAGAUACCAAUCUUCCCAGUGCAAUGAUUUUCCUUCGUUUUCUUUUUGACGAAAGUCAAAUGUUUGGUUUGGUUUGGUUUGCAGGUGCAAAAUGGCUCCUGUACCACAACCUUGUUUUGGUGCCAGCAACGUGGGUUGAAAUUUUGGUCCUUCGAGUCGAUGGUUGUUGGAUUCCUGGAAAUUUCCUCCCAAAACCCAACUCUUUUCCUAUCAUUGGAGGGGAUGGCAGUUCUACCAUUAUUCCUUUGAUUAUUUGCGGCCAAUUUUUUAGGGGUCCAGCUACGUUACUCCUUUUCAUCUUUUCUGAGUUAUAAAAUUAAAAAUCUCUAUUUUAUUAUAAAAUUAAAAAAAAAAUGAGAUAGUCCUAAAUUUUGACUCAUUAAUCCUACUAAUUUUAAUUUUUUUAAACUUAAAUAAAUGGGUGGGGUAAUUUUUUUAAUAAUUAAUUCAUACACCAAUCAUCAAAGUUUUUGAAAAAAAAUUACUCUUACACCUACCUAAAUGUCAAAUAUAUUUUUGAUAAAACUAUUUUUUUACUAAAUAAAUUAAUUAAAAUAAAAUAUAAAAAAAAAUUGAUUAACUUAUUUACAUGCCCACUAGUUUCAAGCCCAUAUAUCCAGUAAUUAACAAUUGGAUCCUAUCCCAGACUCAAAAGUCAUCAAAUAUGAGACAUGAAAAAUUCUUAAAUAAGUGUGAAGCAUAAAACAGCUUUGCCUCUAAAUCUUUAUUAAAAAACUUGUAAAUUUGUUCAUCAAGCCCCUAGAUGUAAGAAUAAAAAAAGAGUCAUUUCUUUCCCUUACUUUUUGAUACAUUCUCACUAAACAAUUUAAAAACUCAUUAUUAUUAGUAAAUUAAUAUAUUGUUCUUAUAUAUUGAACUUAUUGACUAUAUAAUGAAUAAGUCUUAUGAAAAAAAAUUAACCACAAAUUAAUAACAAGAGAUUAAAUUCAUAUUAACAUUCGUCAUAAAAUAUGAUUUGCAAUUAAUACAUGGUUUUACUUUAUAUUAAAUUAACUAAUUAAUAAAAAAGAGUAUUAAUUUGAAUAAAUUAAUUCAAAUAUAAGAAUAAGUCAUUUUAUUGGUGAAAAUAACUAAAUGUAAAAAAAAAAUUAUGGACUUAUGUGUCAAAAUUUUAAAUUUUUUCACUGUGUUAAUUUUGUAGCAAAUAGUAGGGACUAUAUUGUUAAUAACCUGAUAGAAACAUUUAACCAUUAAACUACUUUUGGGACUGGAUUCAGAAAAGACAAAAAAUGAGGUGUAAAACCACAGCAAUAACAUAGCCCGACCCCCUUUUUUUUUUAAUUGUCAGAGCAUCAGAGAAAGUUUGGAUAAGAUAAUCUUUUAUAAAUUAAAAUAUAAGAUUUCGUUAUAAAAUAUGUUUAAUCUUAAAAUUUUAAUAUUCCAUGAAGCAUCGAGCAAAGUGUAAUUUGAAUAACGGAGUUUAAGGUAUCAAGAUUUUGUAUAGAAAAGAAACUAUAACUAUGUAUGAAAUAAAAGUUGAUAUUGAUGGGAUUAUCUUCUCUUUAAAGUAUAUUUAUUUAUUUAUUUGUAAUAAAUACAUUUUUUAAUUAAUAAAAUAUUUGAGAUAUUUUUUAUAUAUCUUAAUUGCAUAAGUAUUUGGAAUAAGCUCUAUUUAAUCAUAUUAUAUGUAUUUAUGUGAUCAUCAUAUGGAUUCAUAGAAAAUAUAUUACAAAUUAUUUUAUGUUUAAAUAAAUUAAGUUCACUAUUGAUAAAUAGAGUUAAGCGCUCUAUUUGUGUUUUGAAUAAUUUGUCUUGAACAAAUAUGAAUUUACUGAUGUAAUUUGACUAUAUUGAACUGAAUUGCAUAUGAAAUUUAAUUACCUUUGAAGUGAUUGAUAAACUUAUUAAAAUUUCAUAAGCAUUAAUUUUAUUGAAAUCUCAAGUUUGAGUUAAUUAUAGUUUUAUAUUUGUGAUUGUUAUUUCAUUUAAGUUAUCAAUGGGUGCAAUAUACAUUUGUAGUCAAUAUUACCUGAUAUUUUAGUGGGAACGAUUAUCAGCAGUGAGAUGAUAUAUUAACAAUAUAUAAUUUGUACAACAUAUCUCUGAAUGGAUUUUCGGUACUUAGUCAUAGAAUUCUUUGGCAGUAGUGCGUCAACAUAUUUAGUAUGUUGAAAAUAAUUAUUAAAAAAAAGUCAGUAAGUGUCAAGAAACAAAAUGUAAUUAAAUUAAUUAGAUAGUUGAAAUAUCAAUUGAAUUAAUGAUGUGCUAAAAAUGGUUGUUCAGUACAUAAAUCAAUAUGGCAUGUGUCGAAUUAUUAUUCGAAAAUACUAUCCUAAAUCACAUGUAAUUAUAGAGGUCAGUUCUAAUUUUUUAGUGAACUAGAUUUAUAAUUAAAUAAUCAAACUAGCUUAAUUGUAGGAUUAACUAUUGUAGACACUAUUGUAUAUACCCAAAUGAUUCCGGAGCUAGCUUACUUAAUUAAUUACACCGCUAUUGGACUGAUAAGUAAGAUAAUUAGAUAUUUGUGCAAAAAAUCAAAAUAUAUUAUAUAGUAAGAGGCUUCAUUUAAUAUGCAUGUGUAUAAGCCUAUAAGGGUCUUCUAUUAUUUUACAAGAUGUGCCUUAUAACAAGAACAAGUGAUGGGACUUUAUCUUAUCUUUUAAUUUACAUUGAAUAUUUUUUAUUUAAUAAAAUAAUAAAAUAAAGGAUAAAAUAAAGAGCUUUUGUUUCCACCAAAACAUAAUAAAAAUGCUUGUUAUUCUAGAAAAGAACAAAUGAGCCACUAUAUAUAAAUAGAGAAAAAAAUUUCUAAUUUUGAGGGAAAACAUUUUUUAUUGCUAGUUGUUCUCGAUAGUGAUAAUGAUGCUCAUACGUCAAGUAUAAAUCAAACUUGAAUCAUAACCUAAAAUAUCGUUGGUCACGGAUCUUAAUCUAACAAGAUAAGCAAUGAUGGAUCAUGACAUAAAAGUAAAAAUUAUUACUAUGAAAAAUCAAAGUUACGAUUUCUAUGAAAAAUCAAAGUUACGAUUUCUAAAUUAUAGUAAGUCUAUAUGUUAUAUGAGAGUCUCAGUCUAAAUAUUUUGUCUAUAAAACUAUUUUUAAUCAACAAAUAUUGUAUGGUUAAAUAUAAUUUUUAAAUAAUAAUUUUGAUAAAAUUAGUAAAAUAUUAUAUCAUUUUAUAUUACAGGCGUCAAAUCAAAUUAAUUUAAUUUUUAAAUUAUAAUAGUAAGUGUUUACCGAGUACAAGCUACAAAUACCUAAUCUCAAUAGCAAAUAGAGCCGUGAUCUUAAUUGGAAGUAAAGUGCGGAGUGCUACAGGUAUUUACUAUUCUUGAAAGAUUAACUCAUUAUCUAAUUGUUGACUGUCUCAUGACUAAAUUUUUUUUUACCUUUAUUCACUUUGUCAAUAAGUGUUUUUUCUUUUGGCUUUGCAUGUGUCAUUUGAAUUUAAAGAUUACUCAACUAUUUCAAAAUAGUCUUAUAAAAUGAAAAUGGGUUUGAAUGAAAAUGCGUUUACUAAUAAGUAAUCGGAAUAGACUAGAAUCGAAAUGGGUUAGAAUGAAAAUCAGAAUAAAUUAUUUACUUCAAUUGUAGGAAUCAGAAUGAGAUUCAUUUCCAUUGAUGUGUUUAUUUUAUCUUAAAAUCGAAAUGAAUUACCAUAAUUUACUAAAAUACUCUUUGUUAAUUGUUGUCAAUUAGUGGUGGCAACAACAACAAUAAUAAUAUGCAUUUGAUGUGGUCAAAAAAGGCACCGAAAGGUGACAUUACUUUUAAUAAUAUCCUAAUGAAAAGGGCGGGGAUAUGAAGCGGGCAUUUCCCCUCCCCUCUUAAUCAUACAUGCUCAAUUGAAUUGGAAGAUCAAAGACAAAAGUAAGAGAAUUUAGAGUUUUUAAUAAAUACUGAGUGAUUAGUGAUGGAGAAAUUGAAAUUUAAAUGGAUUAAAGUUUGGAUAGUGAGGUAAAAUAUUUUAAUAUUUAUAAAUUUAUUUUAUAUAAAAUUUCAUAUUUUUUGUUUUUGUUUGUGAUUGUAUGUUAAAAUUCUUACAACUUAAGUUUUUUUAAUCUCUCGUCUGAUAUUUAUGUCUAAAUUUUUUUAUUUUUUCUAAUUUUUUUAAUUGUGUAUUUACUUUACUCAUUAAUUUUUUAACAUUUGAAGGAUUAUAAUUUUUUUAAUAUGAUUAUGCAUUGAAUAAAUAAUUUAACUGUUGAUUGAUAGUUAAUCAUUUAAAAAUAAAAAAAUAAAAUUUUAUCUGCAUACUACCAGCAAAAAAAUACAUGAGAAAUUUUUUUAAGAAUUCAAUAAAAUUCAGAUGAGAAUCCUGUUCCAUAUUUGUAACGGCAAUAUUUGUAAAACUAAGGCGUGCAUGUACCUAUUUAACACAAUUAUCUAAUUUAAGUGAAAUGGCACAUCAAAUACAGCUGACAAAAUAUUUUCUUUUUACUCACAUAAAACGCGUGUCUCACAAUAACUCCAUUUGAUGAGUUAUAGCUUUCAAGAAAUUGGAUUUAUUUUUUUUGAGGACAAAAGUAUAGUACAGAGAUAUUUUGUUCACGUCUAGUUUUUUUUUUUUUUAAUAUGGAAGAAAUUAGAACCCUCGGCAUUUAAAUUUUUUCAUGGGAUAAGAUUUGAUUUUUUAUUUUUCUUUUUCUUUUUUUAAAUAUCAAAACAAAUGGUUUUUGACGAGUUAAAAAUCUAAAACUAAGAUAUAUGGAUGUUAACUCUUAACUUCUAUUUACGACUAUUUUCAGUGUUUUAGGUAUUGCAAAUUUUUUUUUUCCUUUAUUCAAAACUCAAAACAAAGACUUCACCAAAUUUAAAUAUAAAAAAAAAUCAAUAGAUCAGUUUUAUUUUUUUAACUUUUAUCAUCUUUAGAAAUGUUGAUUCUCUCAUUUCAUAUUCUCAAACUAUUCUUUUUAUAUGAUUAAAAAAAAAAGGUCACUCAACCUUUGACCGGGUGGUGGAUCGAUAUGAGAGCAACAAUUUGAGUCUUUUAUAAAAUUUAACGUAAAAUUGUAGUUUUAAUUAUUUGUCUGGAUAAAUAUUUCAUAAAAUUUAAUCAAUUUGUUUGAUUGUAUGAUGUAACUAUCUGAUAAAAUAUUAGUUCUCAAAUAAAAAAAAAGGAAGUCAAAGAAAAUCAAAACAAAUUUAAUAUAAUUGUGAUAAUUGUUUGAGAAAGAUGAAAAAGAAAAAAAAAAGAAAAAGGAGAUUAGGUGAUUGAUUUAGAGUUGCCGACAAUAUUAUAUUUUUAGUUGGUAGAGAAAACGUAUUUAACAAAAAGAAAAAGAUUAGAGCUUUAAAUCUCUUGAAAUACUUAAAUGCUAACAUUUAAAAAAAAAGAUUAGUUAAGAAAAUUAAAUUAAGGAGAGAUCCGAAUCAGUACAGAGACAAUGACUGAUUAUAUAGAAAAAUUGAGAUAAAGAGAGAUCCGAAUCAGAACUGAGACAAUGACUGACUAUAUAGCGUAAAAUAGAAGUGACUAGGAAUUAACAAAAACUUUUAAUCACACAAACAAAAAAAGGAAAAAAGAAAAAGAAAAUGGUAACAGUAGUAGCGAAUGCGUCAGCCGCUUCAGCUGGCACUGGUCUGAGAAUAACAUAAAAUUACUAGAACAGAAUAAACAACUCAGAAACUUAUCUCCCGUGGGAGAUUAGACGAUGAAUAUUCAUUGCCACUCUUUUGGUUGUCACUAGAUGUGAAAAAGCUUUUAAUUACUAAGGCAAAACAACCUCGUGGCUCGGCGCCCCAGCCCAGAGGGAGGGUUCCUUUGCACCAGAUUUGAUCCGCGGGCUUGACUUGGCCUAUUAGCACCAUCAGAUUCAGGACUCGUUUGAGUAUUGUUUUGUUGAUUUGGUGAUUGGGAGUCCUCUGAGGAGGAUGUAAAAUUUUCCUCCAUCCUCUUUGACUUUUCUUUAAAGGAUCUAAGGCUCAGGAACACAUGCACUCCUAUUUUUUCCAUUUCCUCCAUAUGUUUUUGGGAUUUUGCCCUGGCUUUUUCCUGCAGUUCUUCAUCAGAUUGGUUUGGCUUAUAAACAACUGCAUUAGGGCUUGUUAUCCCGGGCUCUUCACUGGACUGGCCAGUGUGGGUGCGUUUGCGCUUGCGCUUUGAUUCUGAUUGUUGUGGCAGGCGUAAUUGGCAUUGGCUUUGUUGGUUUUGGUCUGGAGAUUCAUCCUUUGAUUUUGGUGUAUGAGUGGCUUGGAUACGUGUGGUUUCUGCUUGGGUUUCAUCAGGCUUCUGCUUAGGAGAAGGGUCUUUCUCAGGACUACUACCGCUCAUGAUUUGUUCUCAGCAAAAUAUUUGCUCAGUGUAAAUGACUUGUUAGCUAUAUAGACUUGAUAGAGAAGCAUUUAUAUUCGUGAUGGAUGAAGGAGGGGUGAAACUUCUUCUCUGUUUCUUCUCUAUUUCCGUGAAACACCCUCUCUAUUUCUU
rnacentral:lncRNA from 1 species